GCACUGACGUAUCACCCUGUCCUUGCUGGUGACCAGGGUGGCUAUCACACUGCCCAAGAAUCUCUAGGGGCCUGUCCCGUCUCACGGUGUCCAUGGGAACAGCACUGAUGCUACCAGGGAUGAAGACAAAGAUGAUGUAGCAAGACUGACUUGUGCUUCUUUUAUCAGUUAAAGAAGUGAAGCUUUACCAAGCUGGGAACCUGUGGCUUCAUGGUCACCAGGAACUCGGGUUUCUUUUCACACAAUUAUUUUUAGCACAUGGCUCCACGCUCAAAAACAAACAUCAUCUUCUGGACUUGUAAUCACCAAGGCCAAAGUGUAGACCAAGAUAAGGGAGAGAAAAGUGAUGGAGAGAAAAGUGGAUGGACAAGACUAUCACCUACUACCUCUUUUAUUUAUUUAUUUAUUUAUUUAUUUAUUUAUUUAUUUAUUUAUUUAUUAUUACUACUGUCUGUGUGUGUGUGUGUGUGUGUGUGUGUGUGUGUGUGUGAUGUGUAUAGGUGGGUAGGUACAUGCCAUGGUGCAUGUGUGAAAGACAGAGGACAGCUUUUUGGAGUCACCUUUAUGUGGGCUUCAGGGAUCAAACUCAGGUCUCCAGGCUUGCAUGGCAGAUGUCUUCACCUGCUGAGCCUCCAGCCCACCCUGACUUCUUCCAUCUUUAAACAGUCUUCCUAGAAGCUUUGCUCUGCACCAUUAAUUAUAUCUCAAUGGCCAGAACUUGGUCACAUGGCUGCACCUCCUCAACUUCCUGAACUCUAUCCAAGGGGCCAAGACCUCUCCUGAGACUAUAUCCUCCCUCGGCUUCUCCUCCCCUCUCUACUUCUCUUAUUUGCUUAUAGGUUCUCCCCUCUACCCGUCUGUCCUUCCCCAGUCACAGGCACCAGUGACUUAUCCCCUGCCUCAGGCUCUGCAUCAAGGAAGCUAAUGGACUCUAUGCUAGUCAUUAAUUCUGUUCUCAUUCAAACUGAUUUGCAGCCCACCUUUGCAUGCUAUUGCUGCUUGCAUUCUGCCACUCUCAGAGAAUGCCCAUAGUCCUAUAUACCACCUGGUCCCACUUAGGAUGGUGCAUCUGUGUUCUGUGGUUAACUCUUAUCAUAUGAAGGGGCUCGGAAGCUGUGGUCAUUUGAAUAUGCUUGGUCCAGGGAGUGGCACUAUUAGGAAGUGUGGCUUGUUGAAGUAGGUGUAACCUUGAGGCUCUCCUCCUAGCUGUGUGGGAGCCAGUUUUAUACUGGUUGCAGUCAGAUCAAGAUGUAGAGCUCUCAGCUUCUCCAGCAUCAUGCCUGCCUGGAUGCUGCCAUGCUUCCUGCCUUGAUGAUAACGGACUGAACCUUUGAACCUAAGCUAGCCCCAAUUAAAGCAUUCUACUAAUUUCCAAAGUCCCAAAAUCCACAUUCCUCCAAACAAAAGUAUGGUCAGGCCUAUCAUAGCAAUACUCCAUUCCUGGUACCAACUUCUGCCUUAGUUAGGGUUUCCAUUACAUUGAAGACACACCAUGGCCAAGGCAACUUUUAUAAAGGACAACAUUUAAUUGGGGAUAGUUUACCGGCUCAGAGGUUCAAUCUAUUAUCAUCAUGGCAGAAACCAUGACAGCAUCCAGGCAGGAAUGGCAAUGGAGGAGCUGAGAGUUCUACAUCUUGUUCUGAAGGCAAAUGGGAGAAGCCUGACCUCCAAUCAGCUAGGAGGAAGAUCUCAAAACCCAUCCUCACAGUGACAUAACAAAGCCACAGCGACACCCAUUCCAACAAGGCCACAUCUCCUAAUAGUGUCACUCCCUGGGCCAAGCAUAUUCCAACCACCACAGAAGCUAUGGCUCUAUCUACAAAAUUCUGAACACCUCCAGUUGCUUAUCUAAAAAUCUAUCUCAAUGAAAAGUAAAACUGCUGAUAAAUGUCCCAGAACUGCAGUCAUUUCCCACAAAUGGGAAGCUGGUAUUCUCUUUGCUUAUGAACUGACCCACUGGUUUGUCUCCACAGAGAUGGCACUGAAAGCCUGCACGUCACAGUGACACAGAAGACCAUGGCUCACACGGCUCAUUCCAGCAUUGCCUCCUUUCUGGGGCUGGAAAACAGGAUCUUCCUAGUGUUCCAGCCUUCUCCACCAGGUCACAAGCCUCUCUCCCUCACAGUGACACACGGCUUCUUACUGCAAUCCAAGAGCUCUUCUUGCCACACCUGGCCUUUUUCUCAGGUGUCUGAGAUGAAUCCCAUGAAUAUUGAACAGUCUCACUUUACCUGAAUGGAAAAUUAAUUUUGUCAAUUUUAGCUGACAGCUCAUUUUAAAUUUAAAAUGAGAGAAUGAAUGGAUAGCCCUUGUUUUAUCAAGAGGGAAGUAGAGAGGCCAUCAAAAUAACUAACAAAGCCUGGUAAGAUGGCUCAGUCAAUAAAGUGCUUGCUGCACUAGCAUGAGAACCUAGGUUCCAUCUCUAGCACCCACCGAAAAAGCUGGGCACAGUGGUGGUCACGUGUAAUAUAAGCACAGACCAUCAGUGAUCAUCACAGACCAGCACAGACCAUCAGUGACCACCAUAGACCAGCACAGACCAUCAGUGAUCAUCACAAGCCAACACAGACCAUCAGUGAUCACCACAGGCCAACACAGACCAUCAGUGAUCACUGCAGACCAACACAGACCAUCAGUGACCACCAUAGACCAACACAGACCAUCAGUGAUCACUACAGACCAGCACAGACCAUCAGUGAUCACUGCAGACCAACACAGAUCAUCAGUGAUCACUGCAGACCAACACAGACCAUCAGUGACCACCAUAGACCAACACAGACCAUCAGUGAGACUUUUUAAGGAUGUUUACAAAAUAAACACCAAGCAUAAACAAGUGGCAUAAAAUGGAGAAAGUGAACUGUGCAUGAGCAUCCAUUAUAUCAUCUCUAUUGCUGACUAUAAAUGGAGUCUGACAGCUACUUCGAGCUAUCCCACUGCUUUCUCUGUCAUGAUGGACUGCACCUUGGACUGUGACAAAAAUAAGCUCUUUCUCCCUUAAGUUGCUUUUAUCCUAUUAGUUUAACACAACAACAGAAAUCGAAACUAAGAUUCAAUACAGAAAAGUAUAUAAUGCAUAUAUACACAUGUACUAAAAGUACAUAAGACACAGUACAUGAGUUAUUCAAGUGUAUUCAAGUGUACACUUCAAUGGUACAGUUACAUGACCGUAUCAUUAUUUAUUACCAAGGAGUGGAUGCUCAGAUAAAGACCACCAACAUAAAGAAACGGAGUACCAUUGUGCGCCUGUGUGUCCCUAUUGAUGACAAUGCCUUCUAACUUAGUUUGGCCUGUUUUUGAAAUUUAUACAGAACAAAGCUAUACAGUGGUUUCAAUCUCCCAUUUUCUUCAUUUGAUGGUUUCAGAACAUCUCUCAAGUGAACACCCACCCACAAUGGAUGCAUUCAUCCUGUGAUGAGCCUGUGAGCAGCCCGGGACUGCAAAGGACAUUCUCAACAUGCUCUCAGCUAUGCACAUACAUGAUGUUCUUAUGGGUACAUACCUAGAAUUGGAGCUUUUGGCUGAGGUUCGCAUGUCUUUGAUGUAACUACAUGUGAGUCACUCUUUGGAGCCAUGGCCCUGCUUUACAAAGUCCAUGUUGCUCUACCCAGAGUCUGGAAGCUUUGAGAACCUACCAGUUCAUGGAUGUUCUCAUGUCUAAUAGUCCUCUUUCUUUCAGUUCAUAGAUGUUCCCAUGUCUGAUAGUCCACUUUCUGUCGGUUGGCUUGGUCCAUGAUGCAGUCUCACUUGAUUUUAAUUUGUAUUUUCCCAAUUGAUAAUGAUGUUUUUAAUUUUAUGCUUCCCCACUGCUAUUUAAAUACCUUGGCCACAUUCCUUUGCAGCAAUCUGUGUUUCUAAAAAAAAGCCUUUUUCAUAUAUUUUAAAUAUUCCUGAUAUAAAUCCACUAUCAGAUAUAAUCUCAUUACUCUUGGCAUUUUUUUUACAAUGGGUUAGUUUGCUCAAUUUUUAUUUAUAUUUAAUUUAUGUGUAGGAGUGUUUACCUUCAUGUACACCUGGUGUCUGUAUGGUGCCUUCAGCAACCAGAAGGUGUAGAUCCUUUGCAGCUAGAGUUACAGAUGGUUGUGAGACACCAUGAUGUACUGGGAAUUGAACCUGGGUCCUUUGUAAGAGCAGCCAGUGCUCUAAACUGCUUAGUAAUUACUCCAGCCCCCACAAUGAUUUAUGAUAAGCCAAAAUUUUGAGAAGGACGAAUUUAUCAAACUUAUUUUGCCUUUUUUUUGGUUAUCACUUUUAGUGUCUUUUAUAGGAAUCACUUCCAGACCCCACACUAUAGUGAAGUCAUUCACCUGGAAGUCCUGCAUAUUUUACCUUUGCUCUUAGGUCUUAAAUGUACAAGGUACUAAUUUUUGUGCAUGGCAUGAGGCAGAUUCUCCCUCCUAAGGAUCUGGAAAGACAAAACAACAAACAAACAACAAAAAGGCGUCUUUAUUAACUAAAAAGCCCUCUCCCCAGUAGUGGGCGAAGCGGGUGGUGUGGUAGCUCUGUCCUCCGGCACAUCCACAUCUUACUUUGCUCCCCUGCACUGUCUGUUUAUCUUUCCCCACAUCAAAUGCACUGCAGCUUAACUGGUGAGGUUCACAAUGAGUCAAGACUUGCAGAAGAAAAAAGUUCCUGUGUUCUUGUUGUUAUAUAAGAAAACAUUUGCUUUUAUAAAUACAUGGGAAUCUUUUUUUUUUUUAAGUCUGAAGGAGAAGGGGGUGGAGGAGGAGAGAGCAAGAAUAGCAACAGCACAGCAGCAGGACUGUAGGUUUUCACUGGGGUUUAUACUAAAUUUACAAAAUAAUCUAAGAGGAAGUCUAAGCGAAGUCCGUUCAUUACUGGAUCUUCCAGCUGCCCCAUGGCUAAGUGAACACAAUUAGAGAUUCAUUAACGACACUCACCCUCAAGGAACCUCUAUCUGAAAUUCUCAGGGAUGAACCUAAUCGUUUAUCUUUUGCUCAUGCAAAGUUCAUUUAGUAAAAAGGGCUGCUAACCCCUCCUGCCCCCUGAGUGCCUAGGGGGCCUAGCUUGGUGGAGGCUGAUGUCUCUUUGGUAGGUUGCUUCCCUACUCAAGUUGCUUCCCACUUUUAGAGCUCAGGGGCUAGGCUGGAGUUUUAGGAGUUAAGACUGGAAGUGGCAGAUGUCUUUUUGCCAUAUUCCAUUGGUCAGAACUCAGUCACUUGACCACUAGAAGAAGAGGAAAUCCCAGAGAGCUGGGGAGAAGUGAGCAUUCCUCAGUCAUUCCCUUUGCUUCUCUCCUUAACUUAGGUCUGAAGGAGGAUCCCUACCCAUGCCAGUACAAGGCAGAUUAGAGGCUGUAACAGAGUGUACAUCGCUAACGGCAACACUUGUGAGUUUGACACCAGCAUGUGCUACAUGAUAAUGAGUUCCAGGUUGCCCUGGGCUACAGAGGGAGUAAGAAAUGAAUAAACAAGCAAAACACAUAAAAACAAACAAAACUACAGUAGUUGCUCCAACACGCUGCAGUUUCUGAGUAGUGCACUGUUCAGUAGCGCAUGUGCACCCAGUGAGUCUUUGUACAGACUCUUUCCCAUGCUUUUCUCAUUUAUGAAUACUAACUUGUGUUGCAUACCAGUAGCCGUGUUUUUCUUUUCAUCUGUCCAGGAAACACCCUGUUCGGUUUUCUCGGUUAAUGCUGAACUGCUGAACCAUGUGCUCUGGAAUCCACUUGGUCAUGGAUCCUGUCUCAAGAUGCCACCAAUCUCAGUUGGCUAACAGCCCACUGGGGAUUUCUGCAAACAUUCUCCUAGCGUGUAUGAAAUUGUAACGGACACCGCAGGAGUUCACAGACACUGGCAAGUGUGCAGCUGGUUCCAGUCACCACAGGUCAUGCUUCCUGCUCUCUGAAAUCAUCACUUAACAAUAUGGAAUCACGUGCCUUCCCAGAGGAGGAACACAAGGCUUGGAACUGAGCCCAGGGGAACAAAUUCCAUCUUUGUCACAUAAUGGAACAAUGUUUAUGAAUAAUGUUAAGCUGAAAAGAUGUAAGAAACAUAAGAGGAGAAACAAGGAGCAGGUGAGACCACUCAUUACCAUGAAAGUUUGAGCAAAUGGCACUUGUAAUGACUGCAUAACACUCCAUCGGGUCGUCCAGCUACGUCGUCAUCGUUUCUUAUCACUGGGCAUUUACACAGGAUCCUAUUUCUAACCAUGGACAUACAUAUUUUCCCACACUUCAGAGGCAUCUCUAGCCGCAGCUGACUAACUGGAAUUUCUGAAUCAACAUUUAUAAAUAUUGAAAGAUUUCUUAGUGUCCAGUGCCAAACGUCUCCUCAGUAAAGCUGGCCACAUUUUCCUUCCCCAUAGGCACCAUGAGGGCUGGUCUCCCUCACUGCUGUGGUCUUUUUAAUCUGCAGCAUUCAUAGCAGGAGGAGAGGGUUCUGCUGCAGUAGGGGUCGUUUCAUGUUACUGAAGUGAACACUGAAUCUCAUGGUGUUGGCCAAUUUAGCUUUUGAUUUGCCCUAAUGUUUGUCAUGUUCUUUUUUCCCCAUGAGCUAUUAAGGGAAAUUAUAAUAAAAUUUUAUUAUUAAUUGGUCGAUCCAUACAACUUUAUUCCAAUACCAUAGUCAUAGAAUUUAGCAUCUAAGCAGAUUUUAUAUUUGUUUAUUACUUUUUCCAUUUUCAUGUGCAUGUGGUAUGUAUGUGUUUGUGUUUGCAUGUAUGUAUGUAUUGUGAGUGCAUCUGCAUGGCUGUACAUGCAGAGGCCAGAGGUUGAUGUCUGCAAUCACCUGAUCCCUUUUCUGCCUUAUUCAUUGAGGCAGGAUCCUGCAAUCAAACCCAGGGAUUGCCAAUGUCAAUUUGCUGGUCAACUUUCUCUGGGGAUUCCUGCUUCCACCUUCAGAGUAAUUACGGUGAGCCACCAUGCCCACCCAGCAUUUAUAUAGGUUCUGCUGAUCCAAACUAUGGACUCACACUGCACUGUAAUCACUUUAACCAUUGAGCCUUUUCUCAAUCCUGUAAGUAGACUUUAUGCUAACGAAUCUAAAAGGGGAGGCCAUGGGGAGCUUAGAAGAUUCAGCAUGCAUAACAGUUGGUGAUGGCAAAACACUUUUGGUCUAUUACACAUCUGAUUUAAUCAUUUGCAAUGUCAAAAUGAAUGAAUUAACUACUAAAGUGAUAUGUAACUUGAUAAUAUGAAAAGCAUUAACAGGCAGGGGAGAUGGCCCAGUGGUAAAGCGUCUACUUCAUAAAUGGAAGGACCUUGGUUCAGAUCUCAGGCACCCAUAUGAGAAAGUUUGGCAUGGUGGCUCCUAUCUGUAAUGAAUGCUAGGGUGUUAGUGGUAUUGACGGGUGGCUCACUAGAACUCAUCAGCCAGUUAGCCUGGCCAAAUCAACCAGGAGAGACCCUGUCUCAAAACAUACUGUGGAGAGUGAUGUGGGAAAACAUCUGAUGUUGACCUUUGACCACCACACACAUACAUGUGCACACACCCAUGAAUACAUCAUGAACUACAAAUACACAUAUGCACACACAUACACAAAGUACUUAGGCCCUCUGAAUGUUAAAAGUGGUAACCAUAGGUUAUAAACAUGACAACAUAUUUGAUGUGAAAAGCCUUGAAACCCAACAAGGUAUAUAAACCAGAGAUGCAAGUAGACUCCUCACAUAGAAAGCAGUAACUGUACUGUGAUGUUAAAAAAAAAAAGUUCAAUAUUUUUAUGACUCAAUAAAAGCAAAUAAAUGCACGCUGAAAUAUUAGGCUACCAUCUUUUAUUUAUUACCUGCGGCGAAACUGCUUGAAAGUGUGCUGGUGGUGCUGAAUGGACAGUGACCUGCCUCACGUGACCCAUGACAGGGGGAAAAGAAGACCAAGCCAUUUUAGAAAGGUCACUUGCGAACGUGGAAAGAUCCAAGAAGAUGUUUGUGUACUUCGAUCAUGUGACCAGAAAUACAGCUCACGAGUGCAACCCCCCCAGGAAUGGGAAGAUACCCAAAUACCAUGAAAUGUACUUUGCCAUCUCUACAAUGGCAGAGUAAUGUGAGAAACGCAUAUUUGAUUAAAUGUUACCAUUUUGGCUACACAUAACAGUGGCAAUCAUGCGUGCCAUCAUAUCGUAUAUGCUUUUUUGGUGGCUGGCUUAUUUCAUUUGGCAUAAUGUCUUCCAGUCCAUCUAUGCUGACAUAUAUGCUAGAAGGUCUUUUUUUUUUUGUCUCAUUUUGUGUGUGUGUGUGCACCCGCAUGUGUGUGCGUGCAAACCAUGUUUAGUUUAUCCAUUCAUCCACCAAAGGACACUUGAGUUGCCUCUGCCCUUUCGCUUCUAUUAACACAGGAUACAAAUAUCGCUAUUUACUGGUGCAAAACAGGCACUGCUUCCUUCACAGAUGAGCAAGCCAAGGUCUCUUUACAAGUUUUCUCACAGAAAUCACACCUCUAGGAAGCAACAGGAUCCAAGACCACCAAGUUUUGAGUGGAGGUAAAGUAUUUGCCUACCCAGUUACACCCAAGGAGGGAUUUUACAACAGAGGAGCCUGAAUGCACUAGGAGACAGCAAAUGCCACACAAACAGUGAUUUAUAGGAAAAGUCACACUGUGUGGCAAUGGAUACUCACGCUCAAAAAAAAAAAAAAUAGCGUCUUCUUUUGUGAUAGCAAUGUGGGGUCAGGAAGAAUUUUUUUUUUUACUAGUGUGUGGGGAAUGGUAGGGGAGGUGAGAGAGUAGGUGUGUACACGCCAGGUCGCAUGUGUGCAGGCCAGAGGGCAACUCUCUGACGUUGGUCCUCUCCUUCUAUAUUCUGGGGAUAAAACCCAGGUCACCAUGUUUUCAGAAUAAGCUCCAUCCUGUGAGCCAUCUUGCUGGCCCAGGAAAAGGAAAUUUACUCCUUACAAACACUUCUGGCUAUGAUUGCCACUGAUGUUAUUUGGAAAGAGGUUUUAAAAAGCCUGGCCAUUUAAAGGAAACCAUCAUUCAAGUUCAAGCCCCAAUUUGCAUUGACAAACAGUGCAGAGGAUGCCCUGGCCAAGCUCACCUUUCAGUGUCUUUACUUUAUUUCUCCAAAGCAAAAGAACCUGUGCAAAAAUACACACUGCAAAGGAUCAAAAGGAUUCAAGGGACUCGGGAGCUUUAUGGAAAUGCCCCAGCUUGGCAGGAAGGAGCUAAUGCGCUGAGCUAAUUUCAUUCCAGAGGCCAAACUGCAAACACUGUUUUGUGCUUCCUGAGAUAAAAAGGCCAGAUCUUAAAAAUAUUUCGAGCUGUGUCUUCACAUUCCAUCGUGCAAAUAGCAUGAUGGGAGCGAUGUGCAAACAUGCUUGUUAACAGUCAGCUACAGCACAGCAGGUGGCUUCUCACUGCUGGACAAAAGUAUCUUGAAAGGAAAAAGGAGAAGGACCAGGUAGGUGCCUUUUCUGAGCGUCCUUGCUCCUCAGCCUGGCCCUCCAGACCCAAAGGAAGGAACUUGACUUCAGAGGAGUGGGUGAUGGGCUACUGUUGCCUGAAAACUAAGCACCUAGGAAGAGAUAUUGGAAUGUGCACUGGGCAAGCAUGGCUGGGCCACCCGGACAGAGCAGAUCCUGGAAGCUUGGAAGCCUGAGUAGCUGGGGAGCCUCUGGGCUAUUUAGCAACUGUUUGGCCUCCUGAAGCUCUUCUCUAGGCUUUGGCUUUACUGUCUGCAAAAUGGGAACAUUAAUAGCUUUGGCUGCAUGGGAUUAUACUUGAGAUUAGUUCCGUACUAGAUUUUUCCCCAAACCCACUCAGCCUUCAUCAAGAUGGGGGUACUUGCAGACUCAACAUUGUCCUCUUAACCUAGUGACGUGCUCUUCUGCCUUAUCCUCCUCACCCCUAAGUCCUAUGUGAUUCUCCCUUCUCAUUAUAAAGUGGACCGCUUCCUUGCAAUGGGGGACAGCUGUACAAACAGCUCUGCUGUGUGAACAUAUCAGAACACAGAAUGCACCCAUAUCAACUUUAUUAAUAAUUGUUAGUGUUGUUAUGAUUAGUAAAUUGCUGUUAUUUAAAAAAAAAUUAGCGUGAGAAUCUGUACCCUUGCAAGAUUCUCUAGAAAAUUUCUAAUAGUUUGAACCCCACAGAUCUGGAGUGAACUCCUGAACACCUUGAGGGACCUGCCCUCAGCCCUGCUUUCCUGCUUUUUGCACUAACUGUCUCUAUGGUCAGAAGGCACAGGAGGCUCAGAGCCUUCAAUGAUGGAGGAAACAAAGGUUAUUAACUCUUUGCAAAGGUCUGUGAUGACAGUGGGGAGCAGGUGGAGAAUGGGCACCUAAUAUUCUCUAGGGGCAAUAACAGUAUAGACAGGUGGAAUAUGUGCCAAGCCCUGGAGAUGAAUGGCCCAAGCUGACCCUCACAAAUACCUCGAGGCAGGCAACAUUAUUAUUCCCAGUCUUUGGAGGAGAAAACCAAGAAACAGAAACCACGAUAUCUUUCCCAAAUAUAUAUAGUGUGAAGAAGACAAGAUUUGAGCCCUGUUAAGAUGGCUCAAUGAAACAAGAAAUGGGAAGAUAGUGAAGAUGGUAUAAUGACUGGGCUCCCAUCUCUUAGACUGUCACAGAGUCAGAGGGCAUGUUCCUUGUGGCUAGAGAAGGCAGGGGUGAGUCCGAAGGAGGGUAAAUGGAAAUAGGGUUGAACUUUUUGUCCAGAGGGGCUCUUGGGGUCCUGUCAUUGUUAAAGGUCCACAGUUGUCCAUUCCCUAGGUACCUACUCCUGUCAAUAAGAGACAGGAACCCCUGUGCAUGACUUGCAUAUUGCUUCUGAAUCUCUGUGU